rnacentral:rRNA from 1 species
UACGGGGGGGGCAAGCGUUGUUCGGAAUUACUGGGCGUAAAGGGCGUGUAGGUGGCCAACUAAGUCCGACGUGAAAUCCCCAGGCUUAACCUGGGGACUGCAUUUGAUACUGGGUUGCUUGAAUUCGGGAGAGGAUAGCGGAAUUCCCAGUGUAGAGGUGAAAUUCGUAGAUAUUGGGAAGAACACCGGUGGCGAAGGCGGCUAUCUGGACCGACAUUGACGCUGAGGCGCGAAAGCGUGGGGAGCAAACAGG